ACAUCCCGAAAGCCGUAAAUCAGACUGAUCAUCAAAGGGUUAUUUUAAUUUGUUCCAGAUCUCUCUCUCUCUCCCCCUCUCGCUACCCCCGAAAUCCAUCCAGCAAGUUGUAGCAGCUUAGAAGUUAGGAGCCAUCUAGCAACCGCUCUUAAUUCCUGUCUUCCCAGUUGCCAUGGCUGCAAAGCAAUUCCUGUGGUAUUGACGUCCUCAUUGAUCCGUGCUUUGGUGCAGUGCCCGCCUGGACAUGGAGCACGGCCAUUGUUCUUCAGUACUUGACAGACACCAAUCAAUACCAGGCUGGAUUUUCUCCCUUCCCCUGCAUGGCGCCUGGCAUGAUGGAGCCCUGAACUUGGCUGGAGCCAACGGAGCUGCUGUACUGCAAAAGAAUGAAGUCCUAUACGGAGACAGAUCCUCAGCAGCUGGAAGGCAGCGCUCUGUGGCUUUGAUGUGCUUGAGGGUCUCGUCAAGCAGGACGUCGCCGGUCGGGGUGUCUGACUUUAAGAGCACCUAGGAGGACAAAGAAAGACACACUGCUCGAGGCUGGAUCCUGGACUGGUCGCUGUCCC